GAUGAACGCUGGCGGCGUGCCUAAUACAUGCAAGUCGAGCGAAUCUUCUUCGGAAGAUGAGUGGCGAACGGGUGAGUAAUACAUAGGUAACCUGCCCCUGUGCGGGGGAUAACAGGAGGAAACUCCUGCUAAUACCGCAUAGCCAUGAGCACCGCAUGGAGCUCAUGCCAAAUAUCCUUCAGGGGAUAGCGCUGGGAUGGACCUAUGGCGCAUUAGCUAGUUGGCGGGGCAACGGCCCACCAAGGCAACGAUGCGUAGCCGGCCUGAGAGGGCGGACGGCCACAUUGGGACUGAGACACGGCCCAGACUCCUACGGGAGGCAGCAGUAGGGAAUUUUCGGCAAUGGGGGAAACCCUGACCGAGCAACGCCGCGUGAGCGAAGAAGGCCUUCGGGUCGUAAAGCUCUGUUGUAAAGGAAGAACGUCGCAUGCAGGAAAUGGUGUGCGAGUGACGGUACUUUACCAGAAAGCCACGGCUAACUACGUGCCAGCCGCCGCGGUAAAAC
rnacentral:rRNA from 1 species